rnacentral:lncRNA from 1 species
UAUUCCCAAUUAGAUAUCAGUAGAAAGAUCUUGGAGAUGAUCACUAGUGUAAGAUCCAUGUGGAUGUAUGUUUAAUCCCACAUAAAUUAUGCAUUAAGUAGAUCUUGAGUAUUUAUACAGAGCUAAGGAACCUUAAAAAUAACUUUUGACUAGUCUUUUUAGAUAAAUAUUUAGAUUGUUACAAAUAAUAUUAGAGUGAACCUAGCCUAUGAUUUCUAUGGACUAGAAGACACUAUAGCAC